ACACCCUCAAGCUUCGCUUGGUGUUGGGCGUCUGUCCCGCCUCUGUGCGCGGACUCGCCUCAAAGUCAUUGGCAGCGGUCUCGCCGGCUCCUCGCGCAGCACAUUUGCGCUUCUCGGAGAAAACGGUGGAUCCGCGCUCCAGCAAGACCUUUCAUG
rnacentral:misc_RNA from 1 species